CAACAGUUCACACAUCUGAAGUAAAUGCUGGCUGUGUAUCUUGGAUCUUGCUGAAGGUUGUGGAGAGUAUGGGUGAAGUUUGAGCAAAAAUUGUCCCCACCCAGGGCAUGAAGACAAGGGACUGAUUCCAGUGCUAUUUUACUUUCUUGCUUUUCUGGAGAUGAAUGAAAAACAAAAAUAACUUCCUUUUUCAGUGUCCUAGUAACUGUAACGAAAAAGCCAAGCAUUCACGGCUGAAUGAACGCAUGAGCAGUAGUUCCUUUACAAGAGAAAGAAAAUUCAGUCAGGCAUGACUGCCACGGUCUCCUUACUAUGCUUACAGAAUGUCCUGGGCAGACACCAUGUAUUCUGAUUGCUAAACCAGACUGAAGCUGAAGCAGUGCGGGUAUGAGAGUUUCCACAGGAAAAAGUACAAAACCAUUACACAGGAUGCCACAGAAGCCAUGUGGAGUGAAGGAAAUGCAAGCUCGAGAGUCAGGUCUUUGAAGGUCUGAGCACCUGCUGUUCAGCAUAACCGAGACGGUAUGUCAUAUUUCACACAUAGAAAAUGAUCAAAUGGCAGAUGGAUAUCUUUUCUAAAGAAACUGACAACACAACCUUUUCAGACAGAGAAACAGGAUAUAUGGAUCUUUGUUUUCUAAACUAAGAACAGCAGACACGGAUGGCAUAGAAGUUACCAGUAACCAAUGUACAAACUGUACAUGAAGUCAAUGAUGAAUGAACUUUAAAAUCAUGUGUCCAUUUCUGGCACUCUUAGAUAUGAAGACAAUAAUUUAGCAUCUUCAUUUUCAAGUCUACCAAAGCUUUUCAUGAAGUGCUAGGACAUUCUUAUCCUCUGUUCCCCUUCCUUCAAUCUAUUUUUAAUUACCUUGUUUGGGAGAAAUUAUUGAAUUUGUUUAUGUAACACAAAAGAGGAACCUCACAAUUAAAAAAUUAAAUCUUCCCUAACAUUAUAAUACUAUUGUAGAGACUGGAAGGAUGAAUUGCCUUGAUUGUCCAUUUUAUUUCCCUAAACACAGAGAGGUAUGGAAUUACAAAUACCAAAUAAUUUUUAUCAAUCCCUAAAAAAGCUGGUGGGUUAGUCAUAUCUAUUAUUUGAAAGUCAUAAUCUACAAAUGCACAUAUGCCCUGAAAUUUCUAUAGAUUAGACUAUGUACUUCUUUUUGAUAGGUAGAAUAGAAGAGUCAUUAAAAGGAUGGCCCCUGGAAUCAUACAUAUGUGCUACCAAAUAAUACAUUUACAGUUUAACCUCUCUGCAUCUCAGUUUAUUCAGCUGAUACAGGGGCAUAAUAAUAAUACCUUCCAUCAAGAAUUGUUUUGAAGACUAGAUAAGAUAGGGAAAUAAUUAUGUUCUCCCCUGCUUCAAUCCCUUCAAUGACUUCCCAUCCCCAAACCCAGACAUGACCUAUAAGGCUCCACAUAAUGUACCCGCCUGUCCUUCCAAAUUCAUCUUGUUCUACUUUAUUCACUAUCUGACUGAAAGACCUUCUUUCAGUUCCUCACAAGUUCCUGGUUUUUGCUGCCUCUGAGGUUUUACAAAUGCUCUUCUUUGCCUGGAACAUAUCUCUGUCCUCCCACAAGCACACAAAGCACACAGAGCUCACUCCCACCCAACCUUUACUUCUCAGUUUAAACAUCACUUGUUUAAAGAGAACUCUUCUGAUUUACCAGUCAAAACCCAUUCUUACCCUUUAUUGUUCUCAUGCAUAGAAUCUUGUUCAUUCCUAAUACCAGAAGCAUUGGGGUACUGUAGGGGUGCUAGCUGGCAUGCCCCCUUUAAAACCACAUGUCCUUGAGGCUCCUUGUCAGGGCUAUGUGCCAGCACUCAUGUUGAUAAUAGUCCUGGGCUUGGCCAACACAGCUGCUUUCUCAUGGGAGAGUUAACAGAGACCCUCAUGGUCUGAGGGAACACGGAGGCCCUCUGGGGUGGGGGAUGCCUCUGAUCCUUUGAAUGCAGGUCAUACAGGACAGUCCCCCUUGGCAAGCAUGCAGGCCUUGUUCUUCUGCCUACUUAAGCAAGCUUCUCUCAGGGAGCGAUAGUGGAUGCACAUCACCUGUCCAGCCAGCCGCCACUGGACCUUCCCUGCAACAUCCCACAGUUCAAUCUCCACAGCUCCUACGUUAUAACCUCACAGAGAAACAGGGUGAGUAGAUGCAAUAGCAAACUAGAGAGUGUACAUCCGGUCCAAAAAGCGCAGCCAGUUUUCCAAUCUGUGAAGACCUGCUUUGUGGGACUGCGAGUUCAGUGUUACCAGACAUUGUGAUUUUUCAAGAGAAACUUAAAAUUCAUAUUGUAAUGUAAAAUCUUCUAAAUCUGGGAAACUAAUUAAAAAUUGCUGAGGUCUAUGUGGUCUGAAAGAUACUUGGACUUCGUGCUGCCCCGGGGGCAGCUAGUUUGUGACCUCUGCUUCUAUGCAAUUGUCUUGUGGUAUGAGGUGUUAUCAAUCCUCUUCUUGUUUUUCAUUUAUCUCUUACUCUGAUAUUAUUCUGUGCUUUCAAACAAGUUUUUCAACAAUUUCAUUUCAUUGCUUUAUAAGGGAUCUAUUUAUAGCUGUUGCUUUUGUAUCUCUAUCUCUCUAUCUUUUGUUUCUCUAAAUCCCUUCCCCUUUCUUUUUUAGAUGUUAGAAGAGCUUUCGAAGUCAAUUAUCUAUUAUAAAGGUAGCAUUUUGAGCAAAAAGGAAAAAAGUGGAGCUAUACAGUAUUUUCAAGCUAUAGCACACAGAAAUAGAA
rnacentral:lncRNA from 1 species